UAACACAUGCAAGUCGAACGGAGCUGUUUCUCUGAAGUUUUCGGAUGGAAGAGAGUUCAGCUUAGUGGCGAACGGGUGAGUAACACGUGAGCAACCUGCCUUUCAGUGGGGGACAACAUUUGGAAACGAAUGCUAAUACCGCAUAAGACCACAGUGUCGCAUGGCACAGGGGUCAAAGGAUUUAUCCGCUGAAAGAUGGGCUCGCGUCCGAUUAGCUAGAUGGUGAGGUAACGGCCCACCAUGGCAACGAUCGGUAGCCGGACUGAGAGGUUGAACGGCCACAUUGGGACUGAGACACGGCCCAGACUCCUACGGGAGGCAGCAGUGGGGAAUAUUGCACAAUGGGGGAAACCCUGAUGCAGCGACGCCGCGUGGAGGAAGAAGGUCUUCGGAUUGUAAACUCCUGUCCCAGGGGACGAUAAUGACGGUACCCUGGGAGGAAGCACCGGCUAACUACGUGCCAGCAGCCGCGGUAAAACGUAGGGUGCAAGCGUUGUCCGGAAUUACUGGGUGUAAAGGGAGCGCAGGCGGAUUGGCAAGUUGGGAGUGAAAUCUAUGGGCUCAACCCAUAAAUUGCUUUCAAAACUGUCAGUCUUGAGUGGUGUAGAGGUAGGCGGAAUUCCCGGUGUAGCGGUGGAAUGCGUAGAUAUCGGGAGGAACACCAGUGGCGAAGGCGGCCUACUGGGCACUAACUGACGCUGAGGCUCGAAGCAUGGGUAGCAAACAGG
rnacentral:rRNA from 1 species